GCACAUUCCAGCACAUAAAAUAAAAUAUUUUUUUGUGUUUACACUCACUCUUUCAAAUAGAUGAAAGUAAAACACAGCAGAAAAUAAAUAAAAUCAAAGACUAGCGGUCCUGUUGCUCUAUUUUCACCUGUAAAGCAGGACUGGGUUAGGCGGAGGUUUACCCUGGUGCAGGUGUGCCGCAGCGGUCAGUGGAAGAAUCCGCGAGUUUCUCUGUGAAUUUCCCAUUACAGUCGUAGCGCACUCGGUGCUUGCUUGGAAGUUUAGGGGUUUUUUUCGCUGUAAAAAGAAGUUUUCUUCCCACGCACAAUGGACACUAAUGUUUUUGUUACUUUUUAUGGAAUCAAACUCAAAAUAAGGUUUAAUAUUUAAAGACUGUUUAGAGUUUGGUUCCCAUAAGAGAUCAGGGUCAUCUCUUCCUCCUGAUCAGCACAGCAGCAUCCUGGCCUGAAUCACAUCGAAGGGAUCUGAGCUGCUCUGACAAACAGACGUGUCCACUCUCAUGUGUCAACUUAACAGAGAUCAACCUAAAGAAUAGCAGUGACCUGCACCGCAUAUUUAUAUACACAAUGUACGUGAACUCUCCCGGAGCUGAGAGUGGAUCCUAUUCACUGACCUUCCUGGGAAAGAAAGUAGGAAGACAUCGAUCUGUAGCUCCUGCAGGCAAGCAAUUUGCCUGGGAGACGACUGUCAGGUCUGCUUGCCCCGAGGACCGCGUGGUGUCCUCGAGGGCUGCUAAAGUCCCUGUGGCAGCGCAGACGCUGGAAGAGCUACCAGGCAGUGUACCAGAGCUUCAAGAUGAAAGGCCAUGCCCGAUUAUUCACAACACACAGCUUGACCAGUUUGAGAAAACCACAGCAGGUGUUUCUGUGAGGAAAGUUACAACAUGACAACACACCCACAUUCCUGUACGAGGAAUAAAAGAGAGGAGAGGGUGGGAUGGGUUCUGCAUGACACGGAGAAUGAUGAAGUUGUCAAACAGGGCCAACUUGUGGAAUAUUUUAGAUAAGGCUGAGAGUGGUAAAGCUUCGAACUGAAAGAGAAAGUAAGCCAGAACUAACUUUUUAGUUAACUAGAACAUAUUAAUUGUGUUAUAAUCUACUUUUUGAUUGCAGCCUUCAGAAAUGUAAAUAGACAUUAAACUGAAUGCCAUGAAUCGCUAAAAAAAAAAUGUAAGGCAUGUUUGAAAUCUUAGAAAUAAAAUGGAAAUGUUUCCAAG
ensembl:lncRNA